UACAGAGACUGCAAGCGUUAUUCGGAUUCACUGGGCGUAAAGGGUGCGCAGGCGGCCAAGUGUGUUAGGCGUGAAAGCCUGAGGCUUAACCUCAGAAUUGCACCUAAAACUACAUGGCUAGAGCAUUGGAGAGGGUAGCGGAAUUCACGGUGUAGCAGUGAAAUGCGUAGAUAUCGUGAGGAACACCAGCGGCGAAGGCGGCACUCUGGGCUGGUACUGACGCUGAGGAGCGAAAGCGUGGGUAGCAAACAGG
rnacentral:rRNA from 1 species